UACAGAGGGGGCAAGCGUUGUUCGGAAUUACUGGGCGUAAAGGCGCGUAGGCGGCCUUCUAAGUCGAACGUGAAAUCCCCGGGCUCAACCUGGGAACUGCGUCCGAUACUGGAUGGCUUGAAUCCGGGAGAGGGAUGCAGAAUUCCAGGUGUAGCGGUGAAAUGCGUAGAUAUCUGGAGGAACACCGGUGGCGAAGGCGGCUUUCUGGGGCCUUACCUGACGCUGAGGAGCGAAAGCUGGGGGAGCGAACAGG
rnacentral:rRNA from 1 species